GUUUAUUGCAUGAUAGGGACCAAUAUCACCAACUACCACACCCUCCAAUGUUGGCAUAACAAACAAAUAUUAAAAGCAAUUAAACAUAAGGAUCUCACCCUCAAUACUGCCUUAAAAGGAUAUGCUUUCCAUACUGAAAAAACAUGUACAGUUAAGAAUUUUAUUUAGUAGAUGAUCUGCUUCUAAUAAACAGUAAUAUUUAAAGGUCAUUAAAGAAAAAAAAAAUAAAUGCCGUGUGUAUCCGACUAUUUCAUGAUCAGGACAGGAGACAUGACACCAGGUUUAGAGCAGACGAUGGAUGACCUAUCACUUUCAGUUGACUGGAGUACGGGCUCGGCUCCGAAUGGCCCAAUGGAAACUAUGGGCCACGGCCACUAAAGGAAGCUUAAUAGAAUAAUUGGGCUACAUGGAGCUGGACACUAGCCAGCGCCCAGCAGAAUCGAGAAGGCAGUCUGGUAGUCUGGUUUUUAAGCAGUGACCUCUCCCACUAAUGAAAACUUGCCUAUUCAAAUUACUGAAGAUUUCAACUAUCCAAUCUUGAAACAUUUCUGGAAUUUGGCUUGAAGAAGUAAACUCAUUUUGAGUGGUAAAAUAGGCAACUAAACAAAGCUAAUGAAGCAUGGAACUGAAAUGUUGCUCGUGAGUCAAAUAAGCACUUCAAACGUAAGUGCAUCAGGUGUACAUUUCAGAAUCAAAAGGACGAUCAUAGAUAUUACCAAACCUUAAAACUUAUCCUGUGCAUCUCCUUUAGAGCCCAGGUCAAUGCCAUGCAACACAGUUCUCUGCAGGAUAGACUUAUGAGUUACCACGGAACCACCAUAUUCAGGCCAGGAAAGAUGAGAGUUCCUCAUCUGGCAUCGGGCUAGGAGUGCAGCUGCCAAACCAUCCACCAUACUCCCCAAGGGAAAAUAGUCCACACCUUUCAGUAAGGAUGAACCUCCAUAAACACCAUCUUGCCCUUUCCUCUCUGCCAACGUCUCUAGCUUGAAAGCACAUGUUUCAUCAGAUGAAAGCUUACCCCUGAAAUUCUGGCUCUGAACUGAAUCCAAGAUUAGAACCCUCGCAGGAAUUAUUUGUUCACCAAUAAGCAACUUAGCAACCACGUUAAUUAGAUCUCUCAGCACUGAGAAAGGGAUCUCGGGUAGCCGGAAGACACUGCCAAUUAGGGUCUUUGAGAAUACGCGGUCAAAGACAUAAAGAGAUGAGAAGAGAUGGACAAAGUGGUAGAUCGGGUUUAGGAUUAGAAAACAGAAGGAAAGGAGACGGAAGUGUCGGUGAUGGAGUAGUUAAGUUGUUGGGAUCUUCCUGAAAGAACCUUGAAGGUGGUGGAAUCUCUGUAAGAACGUCUUCCAUGGUGCAAAAUGAACAAACUGCUUAUGACAGUAGACAACUCAUCAGUUUCAUUGCUCCAGUCAUUCGUCAAAAAGGGUUGUAGAUUAACGUAACCCCAUAAGCAAUUCACAGUUCAAGUAAUCUUUUAUCAAUUACUUUUGAUCCAAAGCAAAGCACCGCAAACCAUUAAUUUCAGAAAAUAUGAUCACGUAGUAAUCAACGGCAGAAAUAUGAGCUCAUAAGCCAGAAAAUUGGUCUUUUAAUAUUCAGGACAAACCGUAACCCACAAAUCUUAGGCUUCCAGGAAGCCCAUCUUUAUACUUCACCAACGUUAUCCGGGGAAACAAACGAAUUCAGAUGGGAGACCGAAUAUUCACAAAAAGAAGAAAGAAAUAGAAAUGAAAACACACUUAGAAGAGUUUGGAAAAUGAUGUUGUUGAGGAGAAGCAGAGUAGAAAGCUUAGGUGGGAUUGUAAUUUUUAGUGCGGAUCAAAAAAUUUGUCAGCAAAAUGCACUAAAUAAAAAAUUUGAGUUAAUUACAAUCUGAAAUCGGACCAGCAAAAUGUUUAUUCAAAAAAAAAAAAAAUCAUUGAUCAAACUCAAAAAAUCACAUGGGCAUACAAUAAUGUAAAAGUACCUUAACUAGAACUAAACUCCUAUCCUUAGGGAACAAGGAAAAAUUAAAUGUAAUGAAAAGCCCUCAAAAUUGGCUGGGGGCUAAGUUCAUAGUUUUUAAAUCAAUUUAAGCUUUCUUACAACAGAUCAUUGGCGAGCAAAUAAACUCAGAAGUAAGGUGCAUAUGAAUAAUCAACCUACUCACACAAUGCAGCCUUUCAUUUCCAUUUCAACAUCUGAUUUUAAGUCCAUCAGCAAACCCUUGAAUUGCAGAGGAUCUUUGUUUGGACCAGUCCUCCAAAUUUGGCUAUAAAAUACAUCAGAUGUGUAAAACCACAGGUCCCUCAACUGCAGAAGGAAUGGCAGAGACAAAUAUUUUCUUUUCAUUUAAUUUAGUGAAAUCAAACUAGGAUAAUGCAAUAAAAAUGAUGCAUGCCUUGUGUAUAAAGAAUGAAUAUAUUAAAUGCCUUUCAACCCUCAUAAUAAUGAGAUAUUUCAUUGUACUUUAUGCAGCAGUGUAGUUCACAUCUUACCCAAAAGAAGAGAAAGCACCAAUCAAUAAUUUUUAUUUUUGGUAUUACACUAUUACUAGUUUAAAGUUGAAUUAUCUUAUUGUUUUGAUGAGCAAGAACAAAAUCAUGCAGAAAAAUGCAUGCAAAUACAAUGAGAUGUCCAAAUGGCUCCCCCAAAACACUACCUUCGUGUCAGUUAUGUUGAGGCAGUAGUUAAUGCUUUUGGUCAAUCUUCAUGUUCAUCUUCAGAAUCAGAUCGAACGUCAUCACUAAUCUGACCCCUUGCUUGGAUUUGCUUAACAAGCAUCCGAUAUAUCAGGACCCACCAGUAAAUAUGGAGAACAAGCAAGCAAUACAGAAGCGUAUUAAACACAUAAUAAUAGAUUGGACCAUCCACUGGAUGCUUUUUCUUGUCUAAGGUCUGGACAACUUCAUAACUUGUACUCCAAAGGACCCAGAAUGGAUAGUAAAUUAGGCGCAGUAUGAUCCAAGACAAAACAAAAAGAAUAAAUGCAAAGCUAGCCAUCCCUUCAGCACCACUGUAUUUGGACAUCUUUCCUAUCUCCAAAAAUAUAUCACUAGCAUCAUGAAGAGCUAAAACAACUGAACCAACACGGGCAAACCUGAGUAUGUAGGACAGCACAAUGAGAAUGACAGUUGCAACAUGAUGACUCAUUGACACUCCAAAGUCCGAACGCCUUGUUUCCCAGAAUAUGAGAGCAAAUAUGGAGUAUGUGUAAAAUCCAGCAGCAUACAUAUACAACGCUUUCAACUUUAACUUCAUUUUUUGGUCUGGCCAGACUUGACUUCCUGGCCCUACCCAAAAGCACUUUGUGUUGGUAAACCAAGGCUCAUUGUAAGUAACAGUCAAAGCUAGAAUCUCUCCUGAAAGAAAAUAUACGCAUUUCCAAGCAGACUCCUUGAAUUUUCGUAUCUUCUUCUUUCUCUCAUCUGUCUCCACAUCCAAUGUCUGAUGACCUUUUCCAAAAAUUAAUCGUCUUGCCACUUUCUGGAAUACAAAUCUAUCAAGAAAGAACCGGACUGUUGGGAAGAACAGAGCAAAGAAAGGUAGAAUAAUGUAAUCUUCAUAAGCAGGGUACGAUUCAUUCCCCCAUUCAAUUGAUUUCACGUAAUCCAUAAAACCCAUCAGAGAUCUUUUCCUUUCUAUUGAUCCCAGAAUUUUCGAGAAACAAAUAAAAAGUAGAGGUUGUUGUAAAUCUCAUACACGAGCAAAAAAGAAACUUUCGUUUUCAACUCUGUUUCUGAAAAAUCAGAUUUUUAAUCGUCAGAAAAAUCCAACCAUUAAAAUAUAAACAUUCCGUUGGUGGGGUGAUUGGGUUUUUGCAAUUUGC
rnacentral:misc_RNA from 1 species